rnacentral:lncRNA from 1 species
UUUAAUGUGGACACAGGCAUCACCUGGGGUCUUGUUAAGAUGCAGCUUCUUCUCCAGUCAGUCUGGGCUGGGGCCUGAGAGUCUGCAUGUCUAAGCUCUCAGGGGACACUGAUGCUGCUGGUCCAGGGGUUGUGUUUGAGCAGUGACGGCUCAGAAGACGCCACAUUCAGAGGUGGCGGGACCUGUUUCCCUCCUGGCUUUCUUUCCUUAUCAAACCGUUGGUCCUCAACUUUGGCUGCACAUGAGAAUCGUCGGGGGACAUUUAAAAAAUCCUGAUGCCCACUUGGGUCCCAUCCCCAGAGAUGUGAUGUAAUUGCUGUGGGUGUGGCUGGUGUUAGGAUUUUCCAAAGGUCUCCAGUGAUUCUGAUGUGUGGCCUAUUCUGAGAACCAGAGCACUAAAGAAAAGAAGAGAUUUAAGAGACAUUUCAAAGGCGAAAUCAAGAGAGGAGGCCCGCCUGUGGUUUUUUUUUUGGAAAAAUAAAGUGAGUGAUUAUAUAUGAGAGGUCUCCAGAGAAACAGAAGCAAUGUGACACACACACAACGCACACACAGACACACACAGGCACACGCACACAUAUGUGUGUGUGUGUUUGCACCAUAGGAGUGGUACCUGGCAAAUCUGAAAUCCACAAGGGAGGCCAGGCAAGCCGGAGACUCGAGCAGAACUUCUAUAUUGUGGGAUUGAGGUAGAAUUGCUUCUUCUCCAGAAAACUCAGUCUUUGCUCUUAAUGCCUUCAGCUGGUGGGGUGAGGCCCACCUUCCCCCUCUUAUGGAGGGUAAUCAGCUCUACCCAAAGUCUACUGAUUUAAAUGUUAACCUCAUCUAAAUAAUACCUUCCCCACGACAUUUACAGCAGUGUUUGACCAAACAGCUGGGCACCAUAGCCUAGCCAAGGUGACACACAAAAUGAACCAUCACAGGUGACUUCAAGGUCAAAUGUCUAUGGGAAUGUGAAUAAAAAUAGGAAUGAUUGGUGGGGAAGUGGGUUUGGGGACAAUGUGAGUGAGUCUGAUAGGCCAGGUCCAGGGCCCCUUUUUGAAGACCUUUGCCAAUACCUGACUCCGGCCCACUGUGGUAGUUGGUUCGAGCUGCUGUAACAAAGUGCUGUGAACUGUGAGGCUGAAACACAAUGGAAACUUCUUGUCCCACAGUUCUGGAGGCUGGAAGUCUGAGAUACGGCCCUGGUGGGGCUGGUUCCUUCUGGGGGCUGUUAGGGAGAACUUACCAUUCCUCCCCAGGCUGCUGGUUCUUGCUGGAGCUCUUUGACGUUUCCAACCUGGCAGAUCCAUCGCUCCAGCCUCUGCCGUCAUCUUCCUGUGGCCUUCUCCCCCUCUGUCUCUGCCUUCACCUGGUGUUUCUCUCCUCGUAUAAGGACACCAGUCACGUUGGGUUAGGCCCACCUUAAUGACCUCAUCUUGGCUUGAUUACAUCUACAAAGACCCUAUUUAAGAACAUACAGAUGCCAGGGGUUAGGACUUCAUCAUAUCUUUUGGGGGGACUCGAUUCAGCCCACAACACCCACCCAUUUCUGAACACCCCUCUUUCCAGACACUCUCCCUUUCUCUGAGUCCCAUCUAAUCUCCCACUUCAAGCCCCCACACACUGCCUCAGAGCCCGACUGCAAAGGUGAGGCUUGGAGAAGGAAUGAGAGGGGUCUCUUUUAAACAUUAGUUGCUUUAAAAAAAAAAAGUUUAACUUGUAUGCUUUGUUUUUCAGACCCUAUCAAAAUAAUCUCGUGUCAAAAUGGAAGCAUGAGAGGGACCACUUCUAAGGGUUUCCUCAGCCCACAGGAUCAGGACAGAGGCAGGGCACAGGCCAGGAGAAGCCCUGUCAGCCAGGGCUCUACAUUGCUCUACAGUAAUGAGGCCUUGAACCCUGUUCCCUGGGGACGGACAGUGACCACCCAACCAGAAUGUCCAAGGAUUUCACCACUGGCUGGAGGAUGGUGUAAUGACACCUAAGAAUUGUAAUCACUUGACAUUUUAAGGAGGAAGAACAGAAAGUUUCGUACAUCAUAUUUGUAGAUGCUCACAUAUUCCGAUGGGCUUUUGGCUUUCUCCAAAAAGCACAUUUCCACCGAGAGUCCCACUUCCUGGGCACUGCUGCACACCGCAGGCCAAUACUCAUCUUCCACAUUCAUUCCCACAUUCACCACGUGUGGUUCUGGGUGUUGGGGACACAGUGGGUAGACGUGGUCUCCAGCCUCAUGGCCCAGGUAUGAUGAGGCCAACAGAUCAGCGGCCGAGCACCAUUGAAAAGACAGUUCGUUACUCACAGCUCCCAAGGAGAGGGGCACACUCUGCCACCCAGGCCAGCCAGGGGAGAACCAGGGCUGGUCAGCAGGCAGAGGGAGGGUCAGGAGAGCGUGGGCAAGACCUUGAAUGUGGUUUCCACGAGAAGCAUCAACGGGA